GACCAGUAACCUUCCUAGAAGGAUCAAAUGAGAACUCUGGCAAAUUGUUUUUGUUUAACUGUUGAUGCAUCUCUCCAUUAAGCAUUAACCUUGCUUUGUUUGCCACAUCAAUUUCAUGUCUAUAUCUCAUCAUUGUAUCAGUUGGCUCCAAAUGCCAUUCGUCGAAGGAGAAAUGCCAUUUUGAUUCGUGGAUUGAUGAGGAGCUUGACGCAUCAAGUUGCCCGUACCAGUGUUAUCUUUAUCAUGAAAUUCACUCUCAUUACGAAAGCCCACCACUAAAUCUCUGAUUUUAUCAUGUGAAGUUCUAAUCUUUGACUGUAAUUGAUUGUGCAGAUGCGUUAUGCUGUUGGAUACAGCAGAGGCAUUUAUGACAUGGGGCCAAACACCAUAUU
rnacentral:misc_RNA from 1 species